rnacentral:tRNA from 1 species
CACUAGAAAGCUAAAACAGGAAUACAGCGUUGGCCUUUUAAGCCAAAGAUUGGUGCUUCCUAACCACCUCUAGUGA